CGACGAAGAGUUUCAAAUUGAAUAAAGAAUUCGAAAGAAAAAGAACGGCGACUAGUCAUUCCCUAAUGGACAAAAAAGCAAGCAAAUGAAAAAGAAUGCGGAAGAGAAAGAUGUGAACU
ensembl:ncRNA T28B4.5 ncRNA